UUAAUGAUUAGAGAGGCCCCUCAUGGGGGGGUCCUAGUAAUCACAUAAUCACCAUUUUUUUGCCAAUAUAAUCACAUAAUCAUUAAAUAUUUGCUUAUCUUUAGUAAUCAAAUAAUCAUAAACUAAAAAUACAGUCCUAGGUAAUCAAAUAAUCAUGAAAUAUUUGGCUUAAUAAUCAAAUAAUCAUUAAAAAAACGGCCAAGUAAUCACAUAAUCAAAAACCCCAUGAGGGCCCUCAUUAGACUA
rnacentral:lncRNA from 1 species